rnacentral:rRNA from 1 species
UACGUAGGGUGCAAGCGUUGUCCGGAAUUAUUGGGCGUAAAGAGCUCGUAGGCGGUUUGUCGCGUCGAAUGUGAAAACCCGGGGCUCAACCCCGGGCCUGCAUUCGAUACGGGCAGACUAGAGUUCGGUAGGGGAGUCUGGAAUUCCUGGUGUAGCGGUGAAAUGCGCAGAUAUCAGAAGGAACACCGGUGGCGAAGGCGGGACUCUGGGCCGAUACUGACGCUGAGGAGCGAAAGCGUGGGGAGCAAACAGG